ACCAAACUUUUUCAACAUGAUGCUAAUAUACUGAAGAUGUUAAAUUGUGAAUGGGUUUAGGAUACCUUAAAUGGUGUGGCCAUAGCGAUUUAUUAAAGUAACAUAAAACAAUACAAUAGUUAUUUUACUAUAUCUUUAAAAUUUGUCAUUCUAACUCUUCAUAUUUUUUAUAUACGUAGAAGUUAUCAUUUGAAGGAAGCACAGUAAGUUUCAUAGCUUUAUCAUGUUCAAGAGCCAUCAUAAAAUUAAAACUAUCAUAACUUAUAAAUCAAGCUUGCAAUUCUUAGUACCAAUAAUGGCCAGCAGAUGGAGCUAUAGGAUUACUUUUAAAUAAUUAUUGUAGAAACGAGUAUGAUUUAAAUCAUUUAUAGAAAUCUUUCAAAGAAAAAUAAUAUGUAUUUUACUGAUGAAAUGACCCUCACUUAAUUAGAAUAACAUGCUGAAGUAUUGUGAAAUACUGUAUAUUAAGAAUAGUUCUUUAUAGGCUUUAUGGACAGAUAAGUUUUGAGUGACUCUUGUAGGAUCAGCACCACAUCCUCUUUUACCACUGUUUAAAGAAUUUAUCUUACAGAACAGGUGCGAAUGAAUUUUGGAUAGCUUGAAUGGUUUUGUCGUGGUGAUUUUUUGAAAUAACAGUAAAAAAGGAACCAGUAAAUGUAUUAAAUUUUUUUAAACUGCAGCUUCUAAACACUUCAAAAAAAUGUACACAUAGAAGACAAGUCAUUCUGAGGAAAUAUGCAUAGUUUCAUGACUAUACAACACUAUAUGGAUGAUAGAAAAUUAAAAAACUAUAAUACAUCUGAUGUCACCCUGUCCCUCUGUCACUGUGGGUAAUGUGUGUGUGUGUGUGUGUGUGUGUGUGUGUGUGUGUGUAAUUAGGUGUGAACCUAUCAGGGAGCAUUUAGUCUCCAGUGCCAACAUUUUACAGAACUGCCACUUUCCUGGACCUCCAGAAUUACUCUGUGUCAGGUUCUGAGAGACUUAAGAUACCAAAAAAUGAUUUAAUUAGAAUACCAUGAAGUACUGUGAAAUACUAUAUAUUAAGACUUUAUAUAUAGGCUUUAUGAACAGAUUAGAGUGACUCGUGAAGGACCAGCACCACCUCCUCUUAUCCGAUGGUUUGAGGAAUAUAUCUUCCAGAAUCUGGGAUUAAGAUUUAGGAGCUCAUUUUUAUUCCAUCUCCUUUCCUGAAAAGUUUGUCUUGCAGAAUUGACUAAAAAUUAAUCUUCACAUUAAUUCCUAAUUCUUUUGCAAUUCUUUUUGUCAGUUCUUCUCGACCUGUUUUUUUUUUUCUUUUUCUUUUGUGACCUCAUGACCCAGUCAGCAUUUUUUGCACAAUGGUCAAGUCUUAACUUAUCCAUUUCUGUAUUGCAUUUGUGUUUGAUAUUUCUCAUGGGGAUUUCAUAUUUUUCGAAUUUACAGUUUGAGUUAAAACUCUUUUUUAGCGCAUUUCAUCUGUAAAAGAAAAUACGCCUAAA